AUUGAACGCUGGCGGCAGGCUUAACACAUGCAAGUCGAGCGAGGUGAUGGUGCUUGCACUAUCACUUAGCGGCGCACGGGUGAGUGAUGCUUAGGCAUCUGCCUAUUACUGGGGGACUACAUCUCGCAAGGGAUGCUAAUACCGCAUACGUGCUACGGGAGUAGGAAGGGGAGCACUUGUGUCUUUGCGCUAUUAGAUUAGCCGAGGGCGGAUUAGCUAUUGGGUGGGGUAGAGGCCUGCCAAGGCGUCGAUCUGUAGCGGGUCAGAGAGGAUGUUCCGCCACACCGGGACUGGGACACGGCCCAGACUCCUACGGGGGGCAGCAGUGGGGAAUAUUGGACAAUGGGGGGAACCCUGGUCCAGCCAUGCCGCGUGUGUGAAGAAGGCCUUAUGGUUGUAAAGCACUUUAAGCGAGGAGGAGGCUCUUUUGGUUAAUACCCAAGAUGAGUGGACGUUACUCGCAGAAUAAGCACCGGCUAACUCUGUGCCAGCCGCCGCGGUAA
rnacentral:rRNA from 1 species